rnacentral:rRNA from 1 species
UUAUAACCUGAGAUCAAGAAGGAUUACCCCCUGAAUUUAAGCAUAUUAAUAAGGGGAGGAAAAGAAAACAACAGUGAUUCCCUUAGUAGCGGCGAGCGAAGCGGGAAAAGCCCAUCCCCUGAAUCUGGCGUGCGUUCUGUGCGUCCGAGUUGUAGGGUAUAGACUUAGUCUCUGGUCCAUAGCAGUCUGCCUAGAAGUAAUUCUGGAAUGAAACGCCAUAGAGGGUGAAAGCCCCUUAUAGCGACUGUUGCGGUUCCAUUGAAGAUUAGGUCUGAGAGUAGCGUUGCUUGAGAGUGCAGCGUGAAUGCGGGAGGUAAACUUCUUCCAAGGCUAAAUACUGAUCAGACACCGAUAGCAAACAAGUAGCGUGAGCGAAAGAUGAAAAGGACUUUGAAGAGAGAGUCAAAAGAACCUGAAACCGUUAUGGGGGAACGCUAUUCUCCUGUCAGAGUAUAACAGGCAGCACUUCGGUGCUGACCAGUUUGAAGGCAACUCCACGUGGUUGGGGCUUGAUUCGUCGAGUCUCCGGCUGCGUGAGGAAUCACGUCGUGGCUUUGUGCUAGGAUGCUUGUGCGAAACUGGGAUUGGUCUAACUUGAUUUGACCCUUCUCGGCUAGCGCUUGAUAUUUCUGGUUACGGGUCGUGUACAAGGAGUUGUGUACGGGAAGAUAGCACCCGUCUUGAAACACGGACCAAGGAGUCGUACUCACUUGCGAGCGGUAGGGUGUAAAACCUGAUACGCGUAUUGAAAGAGAAUACCUAUGAUGAGGCCUUAAAACCUUUGCAAUAGGGCCCCCCUGUGAAACCUCGGUGGAUCGGUGGGCGGUAGAGUAAGUGGGUUCGGACCCGAAAGACGGUGAUCUAUGCCUGGGUAGGGUGAAGCCAUGGGAAACUAUGGUGGAAGCCCGAAGUGGUGCUGACGUGCAAAUCGCUCAUCUAACCUGGGUAUAGGGGCGAAAGACUCAUCGAACCGUCUAGUAGCUGGUUUCCUCCGAAAUUUCCCUCAGGAUAGCUGUGGCUCAUGUGAAGAGUUCCGUCGGGUAGAGCUAAUGAUUCGUGGGUGCGGGACCUCAAUGGUCUUGUCCAAGUCUCAAACUCCGAAUAGGCGGGAUUGGUGUCGUUGCUUAAUUGAACGUUCCAUUUGAAUCAGAGCCAUAUGUGGGCCUUCCUUGGUAAGCAGGGCAGGCAAUGCGGGAUGAACCGAACGCUGAGAUAAAGUGCGUAACUCUGGGCUCAUUAGACCCCACAAACGGUGUUGGUAAAUAUAGACAGCCGGAAGGUGACCCUGGUAGUAGGUAUCCUCUAAGGAGUGUGUAACAACUCACCGGCCAAAUUUACCAGCCCGGAAAAUGGAUCGCGCUAAAGCCCAGGACUUAUACUCAGCCACUGUAGCAUGAGGAGGUUCUUCGGAAUCUUCGAUCGAAGUUGCAGUGGGUAGGAGGACGUGGGGGUUGGGUAGAAGCAUACAGCGUGAGCUGAUGUGGACCGGCCUCUAGUGCAGAUCUUGGUACGAGUAGCAUUUAUUCAAGUGAAAACCUUGAAGACUGAUGUGGAGAAGGGUUCCAUGCCAACUGUGUUUGGACAUGGGUUACUCGGUCCUAAGAGAUAGGUGAAAAUCUUUCUGAAGUGAGCUGUUUUUCAGCUCCGCCUAUCGAAAGGGAAUCAGGUUAAUAUUCCUGAAGUACUUCAAACACCGAACAGGCGGUAACGCAAGCGAACUUGGUGACGCAAAGGGGAGGCACGGCAAGAAUCAUCUUUUGGUACUCUUGUCUUGUUAACGCUCUAAGCUCUGUGGAAUCACAUCAUGUGGAGAAGCAGAACAUUGAGCGGGAAGAGCAUAGAUAAUUGUCUGUGUCCGUUGUCCUCUCUAUUGCCCAUGAAAAGCCAAGGGUCGGAAGCAGUGUUUUGAUAGUAGCCGUACCGAUAACCGCAGCAGGUCUCCUAGGUUAACAGCCUCUAGUCACGCAGGAUAACGCAGCCAAGGGAAGUCGGCAAAUUAGCUCCGUAACCUUGGGAUAAGGAGUGGCUCUGACGAUGGUGAGAUUGCUUACCCUAUUCACAGAACGCUGUUCUUCUAUUGGACGGCGGAUGCGCUUCGAGUGUCUACUUCGGUAGGCCUUGAUUGUGUCUGCUAUCCUAUUGAGGGAUGGGUCUGCAAUGUGGUAGGAUCAUAAGUGUCUCCCUUGAAACGCUUCGGGCGUCAAGGCAUCCAUCAAGUCAGAACUGGAACGGACAAGGAGAACCCGACUGUUUAAUCGAAACACAGCAUUGCGAUGGCCUUAACCGGUGUUGACGCAAUGUGAAUUCUGCCCAGUGCUCUGAAUGUCAAAGCGAAGAGAUUCGAACAAGCCCGGGUAAACGGCAGGAGUAACUAUGACUCUUUUAAGGUAGCCAAAUGCCUCGUCCUCUAAUUAGGGACGUGCAUGAAUGGACUAACGAGGUUCUCACUGUCCCUGGCUGGGACCUGGUGAAAGUACAGCCCCGGGAACGGGCGGGGCAAAAUCAGCGGGGAAAGAAGACCCUGUUGAGCUUGACUCUAGUUUGAUUUUGUGGAGUGAUUUGAGGGGUGUAGGCUACUGAGGAGACUUCGGUCAAACGUGAAAUACUCAGACCUUCAACAUCGCUCUACUAACUCAGUUAGUUAGAACCCUUUGGCUAAAACCAGAGGUUUUCUUGAUUUAAACGUGGAUUUAGUUCCGCGUGAUCUAAUCUGAGGACAUGAUCAGAUGGGGAGUUUGGCUGGGGCGGCACACGUGCUAUAAGGUACCGCACGUGUCCUAAGGGGGGCUCAACGAGAACAGAAGUCUCGUGUAGAACAAAAGGGUAAAAGCCCCCUUGAUUUUGAUCUUCAGUAUGGAUACAAACCGUGAAAGCGUGGCCUAUCGAUCCUUUAUCUUUUAGAAGUUUUAAGCUAGAGGUGCCAGAAAAGUUACCAUAGGGAUAACUGGCUUGUGGCAGCCAAGCGUUCAUAGCGACGUUGCUUUUUGAUCCUUCGAUGUCGGCUCUUCCUACCGUCCAGAAGCAGAAUUCUGGAAGCGUUGGAUUGUUCACCCACUAACAGGGAUCGUGAGCUGGGUUUAGACCGUCGUGAGACAGGUUAGUUUUACCCUACUGAUAGGGUGGUGUGUUGAGAGUAGUGAUAGACAGUACGAGAGGAACCCUAUCACCAGAUCAAUGGUUUAUGCGGUUGUCCGAGCGGACAUCGCCGCGAAGCUAUAAUCUGAUUGUUUAAGACUGAACGCCUCUAAGUCUG